rnacentral:rRNA from 1 species
AUUGAACGCUGGCGGCAUGCCUUACACAUGCAAGUCGAACGGCAGCACGGGGGCAACCCUGGUGGCGAGUGGCGAACGGGUGAGUAAUGCAUCGGAACGUGCCCAGUAGUGGGGGAUAACUAGUCGAAAGAUUAGCUAAUACCGCAUACGACCUACGGGUGAAAGCGGGGGAUUCGCAAGAACCUCGCGCUAUCGGAGCGGCCGAUGUCUGAUUAGCUAGUUGGCGGGGAAAAGCCCACCAAGGCUUCGAUCAGUAGCUGGUCUGAGAGGACGACCAGCCACACUGGGACUGAGACACGGCCAGACUCCUACGGGAGCAGCAGUGGGGAAUUUUGGACAAUGGGCGCAAGCCUGAUCCAGCCAUGCCGCGUGC